GACAGAGGGUGCAAACGUUGUUCGGAAUUACUGGGCGUAAAGCGCGUGUAGGCGGCUAAGUAAGUCGGGCGUGAAAUCCCACGGCUCAACCGGAGCAGUGCCUCGAAUACUGGCGGUCUCGAGGGAGGUAGGGGCGUGCGGAACUGUGGGUGUAGCGGUGAAAUGCGCAGAUAUCGGGAGGAACACCAAUGGCGAAGGCAGAUCUCUGGGCCGUAACUGACGCUGAGGAGCGAAAGCAUGGGGAGCGAACAGG
rnacentral:rRNA from 1 species